rnacentral:rRNA from 1 species
UAAAAUGGGAGGUAAAUUUCUCCUAAGGCUAAAUAACGGCGAGAGACCGAUAGCGAACAAGUACCGUGAGGGAAAGAUGAAAAGAACUUUGAAAAGAGAGUUAAACAGUACGUGAAAUUGUUGAAAGGGAAACGAUUGAAGCCAGUCGUACCUUCGGGUAAUCAGCCUUUCGGGUGCGAUUAUGUGGAGUGUGAGGAGCUUAAACACCUUCAUGUUCUGCAUAUUCGUACUCUUGGGUGUACUUGCCCGUGUGGUUGGUUAACAUCAAUUUUGGCGGUCAUAAAAUGACUGGAGGAAUGUAGCUUCGAUCUCGUAUUGAAGUGUUAUAGCCUUCGGUAGAUGUGAUGAUCGAGAUUGAGGAUUGCAACGGAUACCCUUCGGGGCUACCUGUCUGGUCUCUGAUCGUUGCUCUGGUGCCGAAAGCUUGCUUACGGUUAUCAAAGUCGAUGGUCAAUAGGUUAGAACGGGUUAA